GUCGUUUAAGUCGAAGUGGAGACAUCAGGAUGAUACCCUGAAGGUGGAAAAAAUUUCCAAGCGGUA
rnacentral:tRNA from 1 species